UAUCGGCCCGGGGAUGAGUGGCGAACGGGUGAGUAACACGUGGGUAAUCUGCCCUGUACUCUGGGAUAAGCCUGGGAAACUGGGUCUAAUACCGGAUAUGACACUUCAAGGCAUCUUGGGGUGUGGAAAGUUCCGGCGGUACAGGAUGAACCCGCGGCCUAUCAGCUUGUUGGUGGGGUAAUGGCCUACCAAGGCGACGACGGGUAGCCGGCCUGAGAGGGUGACCGGCCACACUGGGACUGAGACACGGCCCAGACUCCUACGGGAGGCAGCAGUGGGGAAUAUUGCACAAUGGGCGCAAGCCUGAUGCAGCGACGCCGCGUGAGGGAUGACGGCCUUCGGGUUGUAAACCUCUUUCGCCAGGGACGAAGCGCAA
rnacentral:rRNA from 1 species